CUGUUGACACCCAGGAUGAUUUUCAG
rnacentral:piRNA from 1 species